rnacentral:rRNA from 1 species
AACGUAGGUGGCGAGCGUUAUCCGGAGUUACUGGGCGUAAAGGGCGUGCAGGUGGUCUGUUAAGUCUGGCGUGAAAGCUCUCGGCUAAACCGGGAGAGGUCGUUGGAUACUGGCGGACUAGAGGACGGUAGAGGCGUGUGGAAUUCCGGGUGUAGUGGUGAAAUGCGUAGAGAUCCGGAGGAACACCAGUGGCGAAGGCGACACGCUGGGCCGUACCUGACACUAAAACGCGACAGCAUGGGGAGCGAACGGG